UGGUAGAAAUUUGUACCGAAUGGAAUUCUUGGCGACGAUAUUCAUGGGCAACCUUAGUAUUAGACCACCUGCACAAUGGUCUAAGUAAGAAGCAGGAAGACAAAGAUGUCAAUUUGUCAGGUUGUUUGCCGCUAAUCAUGUAUUGGUUAGCUGAGAAGACAAAGAUGGGAGGAGCAAUCAAGAGAAAUGAAUUAGGGUCGCCAAAUUUCAUAAGAUGGUCACUCGUCGAGCUGCACAAAGAAAUGGAGAAACUAACCAACGAGCAGAUAGAGGAAAUGUUUGACCGAAAGCUGACAGAUGAAGACUUGGAAGUGGCAAUGAAUGACAUCAGAGGAAGAAACAGAGGAG